rnacentral:lncRNA from 1 species
UUGUGAUUAAUAAAUUAUUUAUUGGAAAUCUGUUUUCCUUGCAAGAAAGCAUAUUCAGUGUGAACUUCUGAUUCAAGCAGAAUAAAUUAUAAUUAUCAAAUUCUGCUUAUAUAUUCUAUUUUCUUCUAGCAGCAAAACAGUGAAUAUUCCUUAGAAAGCUACAUUUUACUGAAAAGCACAAAGAAGCAAAUAAAGUAUAUAAAAAUAAAAAAACAUUUCUCAACUCAGAUGUCCUGGGUCAGAGAUUUGUCCUGUCAGGAAACUUGCUUCUUAAAGGAUACAGGAAAAAGCUGUGAAUAUUAAGAGCAUAAGCUUUGGAAACAGAAAAGUUAACCUCUAUAACUUAAAUGUAAAUAAAUGACUGUGCCUCUACACUUAAUAGUUUACAUUACAUAUAAAGUAAUAUAAAUAUAAAAUACAAACUAUGUGAUCUUUAGAGGGAGAAAGUCACUUUAGAGAGAGAAAAUUUAGGGACUGUGUUUCUAAACUUCAGUUGGGUGUAUCACCUAACUCAUAAAACGGUGAUGAAGUUCAGAUGAGA